AAAGCAGACCAACCAGCUGGAUUCCCGCAUAAUUAAAGGCAUCGUCAGGGGUGUAAAUCUCAUCUUUAUUCUGACGCCGGAUCCAGAUCUGAGGCUCGUUUUCCUUUAUAAGAGUACCCUCUCGACCUCACGAGCUCUCACCAGAUAUGAAGCUCGUAGGCAGCAGGCCUCCCCUAGAUCCAUGAGAAAUGAGCUGCAGUGCGUGUUAGUGGAUGAAAGCUCAAAACGCUUUCAUAGAUCCUGACAGUUUUGAAGUAAUAGCAGGCCUGGCUUUGCUUUUCUUCAAAGCAUCUUGAGAGACCAAAAUCUGCAAUUUUUGGCACCAUGUUGUCAUCAAGCAAUAUAUUUGCAGGUUUGAGGUCUAAUUGGAGAAUAUGAAUCUUGUGGAGAUAAUGCAAACCCUCACAAAUUCCCUUGAUUAUUUCAUAGCGCUUUGUCCAUUGAGAUUCUCUUCAUUGAGAAAUUGUGUGGCAUGGGACAAUUGCAAUGCAUGAUAAAAAAUAAGAGCAAAAAUAUAGUAUGAUCUAUUGGAUAUUGUGUUGACUCACAAGGAAAGACCAAAAUACAAAAAAAGGCAAAUGAUUGCUCUGCGUUGCAUGUCUACCUAGGCGAAUCUACAUGCCUAUGUAACAAAUUCAAGAUGCAUGGGUCUGCAUGUAGAGAGCGCUAUCAAAUAAUCAAGGAAUUUGCGAGGGUUUACAUUAUCUUCACAAGAGAUAUAUUGUUCGCUUAGACCUUAGACCUGCAAACAUAUUUCUAGAUGACAAUAUGAUGCUAAAAAUUGCGGAUUUUUGUUUCUCAUGAUGCUUGGAGGAAAAACAAAGCCAAGCUAUUGCUUCAAAACAGUUUGGAUCUAUGUAAUCUAGCCAACCAACAAUCUUCGAAAGCUCGAAUGCCUUCCUUUCCCCGUUCAUUAAUAAGUUGAUAUGGAUCUUUAUGCAGGGCAUUAGACUCUUAAGAUGGAAAAUCACGCUAGAGCUACACAUAUAGUUUUGCUCUUACAAUCGUACAAUAGUAUAAUAGGGAAAAGGGGCAUUGAUGAAAUGUCUUGCUGUCAUAACAUAUGAAUGCAAUAGGUUCUUGAAACUUGGGGGAGUAGGUUGUAGAAAUCAUCAGGACGAUAUUUGAUGCCUGUAGUAUGCACAGGCUGUAGUCAAUGGCUCGACAAAACAGAACGCACAAAUACUUUUUUUCAGACUUGCAUUGGUAGGUCAUUGUUUGUGCAGGUAAGCUCAUUUAUGGACCAUGGCAUGCUCCACUAACCUCUUUUUUGUAGAACCUGUGUACAUCAUUCCAUGAUGCUCCGAGCUGGUGGAUGAGAUCAAGCCUCGUUGGUUGUCACAACCAACAGAAAAGGGUUCCGGUGGGCUGCAGCAAAAUGCACCUAAGGAGCAAACAUGAAGAUACUGUGGAGACAGGCCAAGAAGGAACAGUCCAGGCAAUGAAGAGUGGCCCCUCUGCUCAUACUCCAUGACAGUUCUUCCCAUUAACUAAUCGGCCAAGUGUGGAUAGUGGUUGACGGCACUAGAAAAGUAGCGUCUCGCCCGAUUUUGUCAUUGCUUCUUGGGACCUGAUUUUUACGGUCCCAUUCUCAAUUUCCGUUACAGCUAGUCUGGAUUAUCUCACAUAGAGCAAACCGGAGUGACCUUUAUGUCUAGGUUUCUGGUUUCGUUAACAUUUGGAUUGAUGGACAUGUCAUAUAUGGAUGUAUUUUUCUUAUGACUUACAGCUUUAAGUAGCUGCUACUCACAGUGAGAGUUUCAUAUCACAUCAUGUGCCUGAUGUGAUUCUUUCA